rnacentral:lncRNA from 1 species
CUGCUCUGUCAGCGGGAGGAGAGGGGUCGGGGGCCGGCGAGCGCAGGGAGCGGCUGGUGGCCGCGGGAGUGCCGCGCUCAGGUGCGGGGGUGUCCGGCGGCCGCGUCCCCGGCCGUGCCCCAGGGCGACGGGGCUGGAAAGGGGGUGCCAGCGUCGUGUCAGGGACUGAGGACAUAUUUCUUGAGAGCUUUUCAAAAAGUCUUCCUCAUCUCUUGGGACUAUGCAGUGUUUUAUCUUUCCUCUUCAACACCAGUGGAAAAAAAAAAGCUUGCAGGGUGGUUUCAUCUGUACCAUCUGUGGGCCAUAUUGCACAUCAGAUGGCAGGAUAAAAUCUGCAAUGAGAACAUUUUGGGACAUAAAAGUCUUUCAGGGUUUGAAGCCAUGAUAUUCACAACACAAAUGUACAGAGCCACUCAUGUAUCUGAAACAGAAGACGCAGCAAUGCCAAAGCAGCUGCUGCAGUGAAAUAAAAGAGAGACCACACAGUUUGGGGAACAUGAUGGCAU